GAUCAUGGCUCAGGAUGAACGCUAGCUACAGGCUUAACACAUGCAAGUCGAGAGGCAGCAUGGUCUUAGCUUGCUAAGGCCGAUGGCGACCGGCGCNCGGGUGAGUAACGCGUAUCCAACCUGCCUUACACUCUUGGACAGCCUUCUGAAAGGGAGAUUAAUACAAGAUGUUAUCAUGAGUAAGCAUUUUCGCAUGAUUAAAGGUUUACCGGUGUAAGAUGGGG
rnacentral:rRNA from 1 species